UACGAAGGGGGCUAGCGUUGUUCGGAUUAACUGGGCGUAAAGGGUGCGUAGGCGGGGUUUUAAGUCAGGGGUGAAAAUGCCGAGGCUCAACUUCGGAACUGCCUUUGAUACUGGAACUCUUGAGUCCGGGAGAGGUGAGUGGAACUGCGAGUGUAGAGGUGAAAUUCGUAGAUAUUCGCAAGAACACCAGUGGCGAAGGCGCUCACUGGCCCGGUACUGACGCU
rnacentral:rRNA from 1 species